UAGGAUGCGAGUACGUCUUCGCUUUCUC
rnacentral:sRNA from 1 species